AAAAUCCGUUGGNUUUAUUGACCGUGAGGGUUCAAGUCCCUUUACCCCCC
rnacentral:tRNA from 1 species